CCCGCACAAGCGUGGAGCAUGUGGUUUAAUUCGACGCAACGCGAAGAACCUUACCAGGGCUUGACAUCCCCUGACCGCGUAUGAAAGUACGUUUUCACCUCGGGUGACAGGGAGACAGGUGGUGCAUGGUUGUCGUCAGCUCGUGUCGUGAGAUGUUGGGUUAAGUCCCGCAACGAGCGCAACCCCUACGUUUAGUUGCUAACGCGUGAAGGCGAGCACUCUAGACGAACUGCCGUUGACAAAACGGAGGAAGGUGGGAUGACGUCAAAUCGUCAUGCCCCUUAUGUUCUGGGCUACACACGUGCUACAAUGGCCGGUACAGACGGAGGCGAAGCCGCGAGGCGGAGCAAAUCCGAAAAAGCCGGUCUCAGUUCGGAUUGCAGGCUGCAAUUCGCCUGCAUGAAGUCGGAAUCGCUAGUAAUCGCAGGUCAGCAUACUGCGGUGAAUACGUUCCCGGGCCUU
rnacentral:rRNA from 1 species